rnacentral:rRNA from 1 species
AGAGUUUGAUCAUGGCUCAGGAUGAACGCUAGCGGGAGGCUUAAUACAUGCAAGUCGAGGGGCAGCAUGGGGCUUCGGCCCUGAUGGCGACCGGCGCACGGGUGAGUAACGCGUUACGAAACCUGCCUCCAAGCGGGGAAUAGCCCCGGGAAACUGGGAUUAAUGCCCCAUAGCACUGCACUGCCGCCUGGCAGAGCAGUUAAAGCUGCGGCGCUUGGAGAUGGUCGCGCGUCCCAUUAGCUAGUUGGCGGGGUAACGGCCCACCAAGGCGACGAUGGGUAGGGGGCGUGAGAGCGUGGCCCCCCACACGGGUACUGAGACACGGACCCGACUCCUACGGGAGGCAGCAGUAAGGAAUAUUGGACAAUGGGGGCAACCCUGAUCCAGCCAUCCCGCGUGCAGGAUGACGGCCCUACGGGUUGUAAACUGCUUUUGCGAGGGUAGAAACGACGCUAUUCGUAGUGUUUUGACGGUACCUCGAGAAUAAGCACCGGCUAACUCCGUGCCAGCAGCCGCGGUAAUACGGAGGGUGCAAGCGUUAUCCGGAAUCACUGGGUUUAAAGGGUGCGUAGGCGGGCAUGUAAGUCAGAGGUGAAAGGCCAUCGCUCAACGAUGGAAUUGCCUU